rnacentral:rRNA from 1 species
GCCUACGACCAUACCAUGCUGAAUAUACCGUUCUCGUCCGAUCACCGAAGUCAAGCAGCAUAGGGCUCGGUUAGUACUUGGAUGGGAGACCGCCUGGGAAUACCGGGUGUUGUAGGCU